rnacentral:lncRNA from 1 species
AGAUGAUGAGGAGGCACCAGCAAAAGAGACUGAGAAAGAGUGGGCAGGCAAAUGGAAGAAAGACCGGGCACAAUGAAGGGCAGGAUUAGAGUGCAGGGGCCAGCCAUGCCCUCCCGGGAGACUGGCCCCUAGCGCUGCCGGAGGGCAGAGAGUGGCACAUGGCUCAGCCUUUGGCACUCAGGUGAGGAAACUGAGCCUGAGACCGAACAAGGAUGAGGAAACUUGAGGCUCAGAAUGGUUAAUUACCUCGCCUAAGGUUACUGAUUAAUAAAUCACUGAGUAGAGACUGAAACCCACAUCUGUCUACCAGCAAAGGCUGUCCAUACUACACCAUGUUAUCUCCAAAUGAAACCUCAUAUGAAGUUGCUGCAGAAACUCUAUGGGAAAAAAAGACUUUUAGAUCUUCUGGAACUACAACAUCUAGUCUCCGUGAAUCUGCACCAUCUCUUAGCACUGGGUCCUGGGAGGAGGGGGUGCUUCCACCAGCUCCCUCCCCUUCUUCCUGCCAUGUUCCUACUUCCUAAGAAGCAAAGACAAACUUGAGUUAGGAUCAACAUGAGGAGCCCACAGUGGGUUAAUGUGACAGAUGCAUCUCCCUGGGUGGCAGAGUGGGCUUCUUGUGGGGUGACAGUCACUGAAGUAUGCUUCCAACUCGAGAGUCCUGGACAUGUGUGGACACGACAGUGUGCUGACCACGAGUGAAUGUAUAGGCAAGUCUUCCUGGAAAACA